UGUGUUCCAGUGACUUAGAGAUAUGAAGCAAAACAGUGCUGCUUAGAACCAAGCAAAGCAUAAUUGAAAUGAACUCUGACAGAAGUUCUAUAAGAAGAUAUUCUUUUAAUGCCUAUGGAUGCAUUCUCUGUAGAAGCUGGAGGAGAAAGCUCUGAGGGAGACUGGACUCCAAGUGACGUAACCACAUACCCUUGCAACAAAAGAAAGCUAAGUGUUUCCUUUAUGGAUUCAAAUUUACUUAGAAUAAACCAAAAUUUCUGUCGAUUGAUAUUUCAAAAGCCCAGAAAGAUAUACCUUGGGAACAUUUUGAAAGGAGUACCCUCCUCCCUGUACCUUUUUAAUUCAUUAACCUCAGUCCCUUAAUUGCCUUUGGUUCACUCUCUUUCCUCUGUGAAUGCACUUAAAUAUAAUGAAGUCUAUCACUGAGAAAAGGAAGAGCAGAAAAACAUCCCAAGGUGACCCAAUACAAACAGCCACAUUAAUUCUCUAAACACAAUUUGCAAGCAUGUCAUAGGCCAAAUGUUACUGACAUCAGAUCUCCAAAUAAUUAUAGGCUGUAGUCAGAUUCAUAAAAAUAAAAGUACGUUUGUGAACAAUUCAUUUUCUUAAUUGUUUGCUUCAUAUAGCCUGUAUGUGGGACAAGUGAUAUUAGGAAAUGUAUAGCUCUUUUUACUCAGAUGAAUGCUUUCAGUAGUAAUGAGAAGACCUUGAGUGGUGGAGAACAUGAGAAAACAGUAUGCCUAAAUUAAACAUGAGAAUGUUUUUUCAUAGAUUUAACAGUAUUAAAUCUAUUACAAUAUUAAUGUUUUGCUAAAUUCUACACCUAAUACAAUAUUUGUAUUUCACUGAAUUCUUUCCUUGACACCAAUAAUCAGGCAUAUAAUUCUGAAGUCACGUCAUUUGAAAGUACUCCAGUACAUUCAGUUGAGUGUAAUUUUUCUAUUGUUUUUGCUUCAUGGGGCUAUCCAGCAAAUGUUGCAGUCUCCUGCAGGCAAAUGGCAUUGUAACAGGUGUCAUAGAUUUUGAUAUACCUAAAAUACUUUAGAUAAUCCACAUUUAAAAUAAACAAACCCAAACCAAUUAAAAGUCUGUAUAACUCCUAACUACACCUACAUUAUUCAAACUGUUUCUUUAUUCAAAUAACAUUUAAUAUGCACAUCUGGAAAACAACAGAGGGGCUAGCGAAAUUGAUUGCAAAUCUAAUAUUCCUGUAGUCAGCACUGCCUUGAGGUAAAAAGCAGUUAAUGUGUUAGAAUCAGACAGCUCUUCUAGCAGCAUCUCCAGCAUCUCUAACUCUGUGUUAUGAAGUACUGAAGUGCAUUUUUAAAUGCUUUGCAAAAACAAGCUAUUAGUGUUGUGCUGUGUGGAAGACCAAAGGAAUAGUCCGAAUUUGUCUUUAUUCUGAAAAAUUCCUGAGAAUUAUUCUGGAGUUCCUUGGGUGAGAACCUCUCUCAAUCUCAGCUCUACGAAUGCAUCCAGCCCCAGAGACCAGCAAUGCAUGGACUCCCAACUGCCAUGUUUUUGCUAAGAGGGUGUGAGUGACUUAAGGUUAAGAUGCAAAAUCUUUUCACAGGUAAUGAAAAUCUCUGUUGAAGAGAAGUACAAUUUUGGGCACUGGCCUUAUGAAUGAGAUAUUCAUCUAAGUCUGUUUAGGAUGCAGCUGUAGAAAAGACAGCCUUAAACAUUACUUCAUAUCUCUGUAUUACCUGUGCUGUUGUUGUCGUUGUUCUUUUUUUUUUUGUUUGUUUGUUUGUUUUUAAAUGUUGCACAAUGAUGAGGAAGUUUCAUGACAUUUUAUGUAUUGCCAAUAUUUUUAUGCAUAAUAAGUGCUAGUUCAGCUUGUGGAUUGAUUCAUUUUCUAUUCUUUCCUGAGCAAGCGGCCUUGCUAGGAAACUUUAUUAGUUUUCUUGGAUGGGAAAUAAUUUUACUUACAUCUUUUCCAGGACUUAUGGACAGGGUGGGACAGGAGAAAACACAGAAAUAGCAUGGUCUAUGGAGGGAAAAUGUUUUGUUACUUUAAAAGCAGUGAACAACAAGAAAGACUGAAAAUGUAAUAUGACUGGUCUGUCAUGGUCUAGUUUGUGGUUGGUUGGUUUGUUUGUUUGUUUCUUGUUUGAUUCUAAGGAGUAAAGUGCACAGCUCCUAAUGAAAGCCUGCUGGGUUUAGGCACCCUUAAGUCUUAGCCUUCAUUUUAUCUUUUGGAAUUAGAAAGUGGAUGUGUGUAGCAGAUGUUCCCAGAAUGCUUUGCCUCAUUGUAAUUCCUACAAUACUCAGUUCCUUAUCUUUAACCCAUUUCUGAAAUCGAUGGUGUCAAGCCUCUCUGGCUUCACAUAAUCUAAUAUGUUUUAAAAAAUGAUUUUUCUAGCCAUCUUAUUCUUUCUGCCUCACUUCUGCAUCUUCCAUCGACUUUAAUUAAGCUUUCCUAAGGCUUGUGACCUUGGUGAGCUUUUAAAAAUAAAGUGAACUGUGUUGCAAGGUGAUUUUUUUCAAUCUUUUUGUAGCCCUGCUGGAAAUUUGCUUUGUGUGGUGUUUGAAAAUAUAGGCUGUUCUUCUGGGAUCAUCAUAUGUGCAUGAAGUGGUAACACUGAGAAACCUCAGUCUGCUCAUUACUAUGUAGUAGUAAAUAGCUCAUUUCUCUAUAAUUUAUGGUUUGCCUUUUCUACCUCUUUAGGUCCUAACUAUACACAAUUGUUUUUAAGAGAAUAAGUUCUUUCAGGCAGACAGUUUUGAAAGAGAACCUUUAAAAAUAGGUUACAGUGCAAAAGACUAGAAGAAAUGCCACACAGAGACCCUCAGCAUGCUUUUUACCUUCCUUACCAUUUAUUUUUUUCCCCUAAUAAAAUCCUAGAAUAAAUGGGAAGAAUUACAUCACUCUUCCUAAUUCUAUUUAUAAUUACAUUGGGCUGGCUCUGUCAGUCAUCUGAAUAGGAGAAUCUUGUCCUGAUUUUCACUGCUACUGAAUCUACAUAUAAAUGCAUACUGUUGUAUUCUGGAAGGUUGAACACAAAACAACCCUCGACUUUUAGGUGUUAGGUCUAUGGAUAGUUUUACAUACAGAAUGGACAAAUAGGGCUAAAAAUUUAAAGGAUUUUUUGUUUGCUAGUUUAUUCUAUUUUUUUCUUGCUUUGAAUAAGAUUUUUCUUGUUUAGUUUCCAUGCCUUGUGAAUAGCAUGAAAUCUACAACCCUGUGCAGAACUUGAUGCAGCUUUUUAUCUGCUAGCCAUUGCUGAGACUUCUGCUCCUGCAUUCAUUGCUGAGCUGGAGGAGUAGGCAGUGUGUGGGACCUGCCCAUUGCUCACCCUUUAGUGAAAAUCGCUUGAUGCUAAAGCAGCCACUUUGUUUGAGUAAACAAAGACAGUAUUAGCUGGAACUGAACACACAGAGCAAACCCACAGUAGAAAAAAAGGCUUUUAUAGACCUUAUAUAAUAGAGUAAAUAACACAAGAUAAAUCUUAGUAAAAGCUGUCAUUUUAGUAUUAGGCUGAAGUAAACAUUGGGAUGAAGACUACGGUGUACCUUAGCCUAAUGACCUGUAGCCAAAGAAGCACUUAUUUGCUUUUGCUAAGAAUAUAUUAUGGGCUAGUCAGAACUUUUUAAGGCAGUAAGUGCCUUCCUUUUGAAAAAACCAAACAAACAAAAACAAAAAAAACCCAAUCUCUUGUGAGAUUAUGCUUAGUGUUAGUAAAGACUAACCUUGAAUUAAGCAUGACCAUCUGAAAAGCUGCUAAAUUUAGCACUCCAUAGGGAAAUGUUUCAUUUAAAACUCUUCUAAUUAACAGUACUCCUCAAAUCAUACACUAGUGUGAUGUCACUUUCCAUUUCAGCAGGACUUUAAAUGUGAACAACAUCAGAUUUUUGUUACUUAGAUUCCCUAAUAAAUUCCUCAGCAAAGUGCAUCACCUCCCUGCAGCAACACUGGUAUUCUCCUUUGAGAACUCUAAGUGAUGCCUCCAUUCAGCAAAGUGUGAUUCCUUUCUAACACAACUACAACGAUUUUGACAUGCAAGAGCUCUAUGCAGGUGUGUGCUCUGCUACCAAUGAACUCGAUGUCUCAACCAUAUUACGGCAGAGCUCUUUGUAGACACAGCCUCACUGCACAGGAGAGAAUGAGUCACCACCAUGAAAUUAGGUGUGUGACUUCAUCAAGUGCUAGAUCAAGGCCUCACCCUGAUUUUAAAGAGCAUUGAUUUAGUCAUUUAGGUCAAAUUUAAUGUAAGAUAUUAAUCAUGCUGUAAAAUUAUUAACAGCAAUGCCUUGCCAUCUAUGAAAAGGGAAUGUUUCAAACAGCUAUGACAUUAAAGUCACACCACCUUUCUUUUCUUUUUAUAAUGUUAGAAAAAAAUGCUGACAGCAGACAGGCUGCAAAUUAUUUUCCAUGUGCAUUUUUUUUUCUUCCCCAUGUGAAGCACUUCUUGGUGCAUAAAAUAAUGUUUGAAUGUGUAAGACUGCAAGCCUUGAGACUUUGAAAUAGACUUAUGUUGAAAGACUGGAGAGGAUGAAGGGCCACUUCUCAGAAAAGCUCGGACAUUCAUCCUGAACUCCAUAUGGUAGAUGCUUCAGAAGGCUUUAAAGAAUGUAUCAGUGUUGCUCUGGAUUCAUCAUCUCCUCUAAUGUGAAUAUUUGACAAAAUGGAGACUCUUGAUACUAAGUUCUCACUCUGGUAUACUGACCUUAAACAUGGGGAAAAUAGUCCUGGGAUUCUGAAGCAACUCAUGACAGUGCAUGAAUUCAAACUGAUGCAAGCAUGUUCAAGAACAACACAAAUUUGCUUUAAUAGUCUGUCUGAUUAAUAUCUGUAACUGCAGAAAAGGGGCUCUGUAUCUAGAUUCCCAGGGAUGCAUAUCUGUUAUGCUACAAUAAGUUUGGAGACAAAGUACACAAAGCCUCUUUGAAAGAAAUUUAUUCUUCAGCAUUUUCUGUUUUUCUCUUUGACUCCACAGAUGUCACGAUCAACUUGCCACAUCUAUAUUUCUUUGAAGAAAUAGUUAUCACUGUCAGAUGAAUACGUGCGUUUCAUGAGUAUUUAUACAUGCCGUACAUUAUCACUGUGUAACACAUCUUCAGUAUCUUCAGUCAUUACUGCAGAUAUUUGCAGAAUAUCUGGAUUUUUUUUAAUUUUUUUUUUUUUUUUAAUUGCAAUCAGUCACCUCUGACCAAAAUAUCCAAGAAGCACCAUGUUGCUGGAAGUUCUUCCAUCCUCCUCUAUAUGAAACAUUGAGUGGGUGGAGAGUAACCAGCUGGGGAGACCAAAAUGAGGGACAAAGCAAGGAGAGAUUCUCAAAGAACAGAAGGUGAAUAGUUAGGAUAUGGUGAAGUGCUGCUAAGUACAGAGGGCUAUAAUUACCCAAGCUGUAACAGCAGAGUCAAGUUCCUGCAGCAUAUCCUGCAGUUAUUUUAUUUGUAUUCAGUUCAUGACCGAAGACCUUGACAGUGAUGAGUUCAGUUAUGGUAGGCAUUGGACAAAUGCAUGCCAUUCAUGCAAUUCCUGAACAAUGUAUAACCUAAACAACACAGCUGUUGGGUUAUCCCGUUUUAUACUUGUCAUUAGCAGAAAAGUGCCUAAACAGCUUUAGGGAUCUGUUUUAGGAUGACUAUCAAGGUCAUAUGGACAUUCAGGGGCCACUCAGAACUGAGCUCAUGGGCCCUAUCAAUAGUCUCAUGCCUGAUAUAUUUGCUGGAGUAAAGGCAUCGCUGUAACUCCUCUCAUUCCUAAAAGAGUGUGAAAAGGGAAGGGCAGCUUUCACUUGUUGACAUUGUAACAGCACAUUAAUUUUAAAUCCUUAAAGGUGGAACAGUGUUUAGAAAAUACUUAAGUACUGUUUAUAAGUAGGUGAUGACAAACAGACAACUUUCUUCCCAGUAGUGCUUCUCUGUGUUUUGAUUCCUGGGCACACUCUAAAGAUGUAUUUUAAAUUUUCUUUACAACCAGUACAACUGUCAACUGCUUUUAGUGGGGAGGACUGCAACUCCUGAAUUUGCUGAUGAACUGUCUGAGAAUGAGCUUUUAUCUCUUACAGUAAUCAUAUGCAUUUAAAAGAUACAAGGGAAGCAAAAUUGCUUAAUGUGUCAAAAAGAACAAUAUCUGUGUAGGAAAAUGCCAGUCAUUGUAAUAUUAUUAAACCUCAACCCCCUAUCAGCCCUGCCAGUGGGGCAGAGGAGUUGUAAAAUGAAUCCUAAGACAGAUUUGUCUUGGAACAUAAAUACUACCAAUAAGCAUCAUUGUUACAGAGUUAUUUAAAUCUGAAGAGAUUUCUUCCCGAAUAUUCUCCAUAAGCUCACAGGCAUCUUCUUUUUCAUCUUAUUGUUUCUCUUGUUAUUUAUGUAAGACAAAAAGAAAUGCACUUGAGUGUAUUGUUGAAUCAGAUAAAGGAAUAAUGCUUAGCUGUCCUAGAGUGAUUAGUCAGCUAUGUAUAAAGUAAUGUCAGUCCAGUGGGCCACUCAAGUCUUUCCUCAUUUAUUCAGUCGCUGCUGGCUUUAGCUGGUCUGAAAACCCUGGUGGUUUUUCAUAUGGUUUUACUUUUUGUGUGUAUGUUGAGGGUACCAGGGUUGCUGUUUUUUUUUGGUUUUUUUUGUUUUUUUUGUUUUUUCUGUUUGUUUGUCUGUAUGAUUUUUGAUGAAGUUCUGUUCUUCCUGUCCCCAGACAACACGAACCAGUUGCCAACUCAUACUGCUAUUUAUUGUUUCAGUUAAGGCCAAAGAUCAUCUCUCCAGAGGCUCUUGGGGCAAAUUUAUCUUACUGAUGUUAGAGGAUGUUAAGAAGUCAGUCAUCGGAGAGUAUCAAGGCAGCUGGUUCCAAACUAAAAGUUCUUCCCUGGACAUUAGAAAGGGAGGCUACUUCAUCAUUUGAUGGUGAUUCAGAGGCAUCUUUUAAAGGUGUAAGUUCCAGGAAGAAUGUGAAAACAAAACAGUGUACCCAUAU